AUCGUAAUUCCCCUUCACCUUCUUUGGUCGCAUUAGGGUUUGGCCAUGGCUCGUGGUCCCGGCUCAAGAACCACUACAGGAUUAAUGGGUGCCUAAUGAAUCUGAAUCUGAAUAUGAGCAUUGUCCUGACCUGCAAUUCCACUUGGUGGUGUAUAUGAGUUAAGAGGCAGAUGACAUCAUGUCAUGAAUGAUCCUAAAUGGCCCAAUGACAACCUUGAAGCUGAGUAUAGAAUUUUUUUGAGUUGUCGCUUGCUUUUCGUUGCCGACUGGCUGGAAAUAGUAUGUUCCUUUCUUUUUUAAAAGCUC